rnacentral:rRNA from 1 species
CCUACGGGAGGCAGCAGUGAGGAAUAUUGGACAAUGGAUGGAAAUCUGAUCCAGCCAUGCCGCGUGCAGGAAGACGGCCCUAUGGGUUGUAAACUGCUUUUGUAUGGGAGCAAUAAGGUCUAUGCGUAGACUGAUGAGAGUACCAUACGAAUAAGCAUCGGCUAACUCCGUGCCAGCAGCCGCGGUAAUACGGGGGAUGCAAGCGUUAUCCGGAUUUAUUGGGUUUAAAGGGUGCGUAGGCGGUUUGAUAAGUCAGCGGUGAAAUAUUUCAGCUUAACUGAAAGGGUGCCGUUGAUACUGCCAGGCUUGAAUAUGGUUGCUGUGGGUGGAAUGUGUGGUGUAGCGGUGAAAUGCUUAGAUAUCACACAGAAUAUCGAUUGCGAAGGCAGCUCACAAAGCCAUUAUUGACGCUGAUGCACGAAAGUGUGGGGAUCAAACAGGAUUAGAUACCCUGGUAGUCCACACUGUAAACGAUGAUAACUCGCUGUCGGCGAUACACAGUCGGUAGCCAAGCGAAAGCGAUAAGUUAUCCACCUGGGGAGUACGACCGCAAGGUUGAAACUCAAAGGAAUUGACGGGGGCCCGCACAAGCGGAGGAACAUGUGGUUUAAUUCGAUGAUACGCGAGGAACCUUACCCGGGCUCGAACGGUGCAGGAAUACGUCAGAGAUGAUGUAGCUAGCAAUAGUCUGUAUCGAGGUGCUGCAUGGUUGUCGUCAGCUCGUGCCGUGAGGUGUCGGCUUAAGUGCCAUAACGAGCGCAACCCUUGUCGUUAGUUGCCAUCAGGUAAUGCUGGGAACUCUAGCGAGACUGCCACCGUAAGGUGUGAGGAAGGGGGGGAUGACGUCAAAUCAGCACGGCCCUUACGUCCGGGGCGACACACGUGUUACAAUGGUAGGUACAGAGGGCAGCUACCCAGCAAUGGGGUGCGAAUCUCAAAAGCCUAUCUCAGUUCGGAUCGGAGUCUGCAACUCGACUCCGUGAAGUUGGAUUCGCUAGUAAUCGCGCAUCAGCCAUGGCGCGGUGAAUACGUUCCCGGGCCUUGUACACCCGCC